UCAAAUUUUUUAUUUCAAGAAUUAACAAAAAGUUACAUCCAAAAUUUAAAAACAAUAAUCAAAUUAAUGUUUUUUAGUUUCAAAAUGUUAUGUCCAAAUCUAUUAACCAUUCAAUCUAUUAAAAAUAAAAGAUUAGUGAAGUGAAAGUUAUAUUUUUAAAUACAAGAAAUUUGAAAAAUGAAAAUUUAAUUUUGUUUUUUUCAAAAUCUAAAUAUCCGAACCCGAUCCGAAAUAACCGAACCCGAACUAAAAAUAUCCGAACCCGACCCGAAGUACAGAAAUACCCGAACGGGUUCUAUACCUCUAUACCGAA
rnacentral:lncRNA from 1 species